rnacentral:rRNA from 1 species
GAUGAACGCUGGCGGCGUGCCUAAUACAUGCAAGUAGAACGCUGAAGGAGGAGCUUGCUCUUCUGGAUGAGUUGCGAACGGGUGAGUAACGCGUAGGUAACCUGCCUGGUAGCGGGGGAUAACUAUUGGAAACGAUAGCUAAUACCGCAUGACAACAGUUAUUGCAUGAUAACUGUUUAAAAGGGGCAACUGCUCCACUACCAGAUGGACCUGCGUUGUAUUAGCUAGUUGGUGAGGUAACGGCUCACCAAGGCGACGAUACAUAGCCGACCUGAGAGGGUGAUCGGCCACACUGGGACUGAGACACGGCCCAGACUCCUACGGGAGGCAGCAGGAGGGAAUCUUCGGCAAUGGACGGAAGUCUGACCGAGCAACGCCGCGUGAGGGAAGAAGGGUUUCGGAUCGUAAAGCUCUGUUGUAAGAGAAGAACGAGUGUGAGAGUGGAAAGUUCACACUGUGACGGUAUCUUACCAGAAAGGGACGGCUAACUACGUG